CUACGGGGUGCUCCAGUGGGGAAUAUUGCACAAUGGAGGAAACUCUGAUGCAGCAACGCCGCGUGGAGGAUGACACUUUUCGGAGCGUAAACUCCUUUUAUAUGUCAAGAAAAUGACGGUAGCAUAUGAAUAAGCGCCGGCUAACUCCGUGCCAGCAGCCGCGGUAAUACGGAGGGCGCAAGCGUUACUCGGAAUCACUGGGCGUAAAGAGCGUGUAGGCGGAUUAAAAAGUCAGAAGUGAAAUCCUAUAGCUUAACUAUAGAACUGCUUCUGAAACUCUUAAUCUAGAAUAUGGGAGAGGUAGAUGGAAUUUCUGGUGUAGGGGUAAAAUCCGUAGAGAUCAGAAGGAAUACCGAUUGCGAAGGCGAUCUACUAGAACAUUAUUGACGCUGAGACGCGAAAGCGUGGGGAGCAAACAGGAUUAGAUACCCCUGUAGUC
rnacentral:rRNA from 1 species